rnacentral:misc_RNA from 1 species
UUUCCGUAGGUGAACCUGCGGAAGGAUCAUUCAUAAUAAGUUUUUUAUGGCACUUUUUAAAUCCAUAUCCACCUUGUGUGCAAUGUCAGGGUUUAUUUUUCUCUCGAGAGGAUCAACCCCAAACAUCAACUAUAUCUCAACUCUUUGUCUGAAAAACAUUAUGAAUAAAACAAUUCAAAAUACAACUUUCAACAACGGAUCUCUUGGCUCUC